AUUGAACGCUGGCGGCAUGCUUUACACAUGCAAGUCGAACGGUAACAGGCCGCAAGGUGCUGACGAGUGGCGAACGGGUGAGUAAUGCAUCGGAACGUGCCCAGUCGUGGGGGAUAACUACUCGAAAGAGUAGCUAAUACCGCAUACGAUCUAUGGAUGAAAGCGGGGGACCGUAAGGCCUCGCGCGAUUGGAGCGGCCGGUGUCAGAUUAGGUAGUUGGUGGGGUAAAGGCUCACCAAGCCAACGAUCUGUAGCUGGUCUGAGAGGACGACCAGCCACACUGGGACUGAGACACGGCCCAGACUCCUACGGGAGGCAGCAGUGGGGAAUUUUGGACAAUGGGCGCAAGCCUGAUCCAGCAAUGCCGCGUGCAGGAAGAAGGCCUUCGGGUUGUAAACUGCUUUUGUACGGAACGAAACGGCUCUGGUUAAUACCCGGGGCUAAUGACGGUACCGUAAGAAUAAGCACCGGCUAACUACGUG
rnacentral:rRNA from 1 species